UACGGGAGGAGCGAGCAUUAUUCGGGAUGAUUAGGCGUAAAGGGUUUGUAGGUGGUUUUUUAAGUUGAAAAAAAAAAAUAAAGCUCAACUUUAUAAAUUUUUUCAAAACUGGAAAACUUGAGUAUAAAUAGAGGAUAAUGGAAUUCCUAUUGUAGUGGUAAAAUACCUUAAUAAUAGGAGGAAGGCCAAGAGCGAAGGCAAUUAUCUGGGUAUAUACUGACACUGAAAAACGAAAGCUUGGGGAGCGAACGGG
rnacentral:rRNA from 1 species